GUUGUACUUGUCCAGCUGGGUGUUUCUGUGCUCCAGCACCAGAAAAUCCUCCUUGCUGCUGCUGCUGCCCCUGUGGCUGCCAGCAGGAUUCCCAUCAGUCAGGCCAGCCUUUCCACACUCACUGCUGUCCCAACAGGGCUGCCAGCUCUCUGUGGCACGUCUGGGUUUGUCUGGCCAUGUCUGUCCUGUGCUGUCCCCUCUCUGUCAUUCCUGGGGUGUCUGUCGUUCUUGGAGUGCCCCAGGUUUUGUGUGGCUGCAAUCCUGCAAUGCCUGCACAGAGAUGCUUCUCCCAAGGGUUCCACCCUCAGAUGGAAAUGAGUGUUGAGGAUCUCCCCUGGUGUGUGUUGUCUUUCUGUGCCAGCUUUGGGCUCUGGGCUGCUGCACUCUGGGUUGGCUGCUGCCCUAAUUCUCAGCCCCCUUGGGCUGUGGCUCUCUGGACCAUCUAUUGCCUUGUCUGAGCUAUUUCUCCAAUUUUUGCACUGGAGCUUAGCACAGGGACAGCCACAAUCUAGGGACAGCCAUGAUCUUUCUUCAGAUUUGUUUUUUUUGCCAGUUUUUGCCCAGCAAGAAAAUGUCUCUGCAGGUGCCAGCACUGCAGGGACUCUGCCUGCCCACACUGAAGCAGGGAAUGAGCUCUCAAGGACAGGGAAACAACAAUUCUUUGUAUCAUUCCCAUGCACCAGCCUUGGUUGGGAGGUAAUUCCUCUCUCCCUUUCCAUCUUGGCAGGAGUAAAGAAGGGGGUCGAGCUGGAGGGAGCAGGAUCGAGUUCUCCCUUUGCAGUAUUCAGUGGCAGCUCUCACUCUGUGGUCUCCCUAUUUUUAACAUCGCCCCGGGGCCGGGCUGGCUCCCUGUUGCAGGGGAGAGGAGGCUCUCGGGGAGACUGUGACCGUGAGAGGUGGAGUCAUGUUGGAUUUGAGCAUGUGAGGAUGAAAGCGACACCCUGCGAGAGCCCCGGGCUGAGGAGGGCUGCCCUAAGCGCUCCCGUACCUGGAAAUGUUUCUGGAGAGCACCGGGAUAUCAGCUAGGAAGAGCUGGAAUCUUCUGGCAAGAACAGCAGCUUCCUGUGUAGUUCAAUCAAGGCAGAAAAAUCCAGCCAGCCAAUGCAGAGCACAAGAUGAACUAACACUGUGUAAGUUAUUG
rnacentral:lncRNA from 1 species